GAAUAUUGGACAAUGGGCGCAAGCCUGAUCCAGCCAUGCCGCGUGUGUGAAGAAGGCCUUCGGGUUGUAAAGCACUUUCAGCGAGGAGGAAGGGUGUUGUGUUAAUAGCACAGCAUUUUGACGUUACUCGCAGAAGAAGCCCCGGCUAACUCCGUGCCAGCAGCCGCGGUAAGACGGAGGGUGCUAGCGUUGUUCGGAAUCACUGGGCGUAAAGGGCGCGUAGGCGGCCUUUGGUGUCGGAUGUGAAAGCCCGGGGCUCAACUCCGGAGGUGCAUCCGAAACUCGAAGGCUGGAGGCCGGAAGAGGAGGGUGGAAUACCCAGUGUAGAGGUGAAAUUCGUAGAUAUUGGGUGGAACACCGGUGGCGAAAGCGGCUCUCUGGUCCGGUCCUGACGCUGAGGCGCGAAAGCGUGGGGAGCAAACAGG
rnacentral:rRNA from 1 species